AGCAUCAAAAGAUAAAUACACACUUAUGGGCACCGGCAGAACCGAUGGCGUCUUUCGGAAGAACGUACCACCAGUCACGUCACGCCAAGGGUUGUUAAUCUUCUUAACAGCUUGACACAUUUGAUGAUAUGCGCCUAUGUGCAUUGUGCAGCCAACUGCAACUUAAGAUCACCAGCAUCAACAUCAACGCUUAUAUUAAUUUUCCGUGGCUUCACUGGUCCUGAUCAAAGAUUUGGUGGAAUCGAGGGGAAUGACACAAUUUUUUUCUCCAAUCCGACUUGUUCCGAAAAAGACGGCACAUCCCGCAAACGACGACAAAACCUGCACAAGAUAUGUAGAAUCCUGACGACACCG